UCUUUAUAGAUUUUGGAUACUAGCCCUUUGUCUGAUGUGUCAUUUGCAAAUAUCUUUUCCCAUUCCGUCAGUUGCCUUUUAGGAUGAAUCUGAUUUGACACUUUGGAGAAUCUUCUGACCUCACUAAACCAGACCGCUUUCUCUACGGAGACAUGUAUUGUUAAAAAUGAACUUCGUAUGGUUUUUUAAGAGACUGUGUUUUUCUGCCAGCCUGAGAUUACUGGGAGAUUUUAGGCAUAUUGUUGAGACUAGGGUAUAAAAUCUCUCAAAGCACUCAAGAAAUAUAAAGGGUCUCUCGUCACUUUGUGGUGCCUUUCUCUUCAGGAAAUAUCUCUGGUGGGCUGACCUCCCUCUCAUGCCAUCCUGGAGCUCUGACCAGUGUCCUACACCUUGCAGACCAUCAUCCUUCACCUCACCAGUUGAGAGCCUUUACUCAAAGCUUCAACACGUGGGGAAGAAAUUUUCCACUGUGGGAACAUUUUCAUUUUUCAAAUUAAAAUCGCAGCACAGCCCUACGGUUAGAAGAGUGGCAUUUCUAACUAAGGUGACACCAGGUCACACGCACGCUAGAGAUGAAAUCAUUUCUGCCGUUGGCUGCACUUGACAGACUGAGCAAGAUCCUUCUGAAAAAGUAGGCAUUGGCUCCUAGCAUCUGUCCAUGUUCCUGUAUUCUUGCAAAACAUUCAUAUCCCACUUUCUUCCGGGAGAUUAGGAAGUAACAGGAUGACUUUUACAAAAUCAAGUAUCAGAUGUUCUUACGCAUCAGGAAGAAAGUUAGAAUGUUUCUUCCAGCUCACGCUGGCCCAUAAGAUCUAACUGUUCAAAACUCAGGGAGGUUGUGAGUUGACUGAAAUCAUGUUGGUAGCUUGAAAUCAGCCCUGGUGAAGACAUGUACACCAUGGAAAUCAGCCAACACAGAGAAAGGAGUGAUCGCACUCCUAGCAGAAACUUCAAGAACAUGUUGGACUUGGAGCUAGGCCUCGAAGUACAGGGAGGAAAGGAGGCCGAGCAGGCGAGCAGAGUGAAGGUCAUGGAAAAGAAGCAGUCUUCCAGCUGCCCAGUCUGUACCUGCACUCUCUCUAGGUCUUCGGUAAUCGCUGCUCUCAGUUCCAUUCUCUGUGAAGCCAAGACCCUCUUGGCUGGUGCUGUGGGACCCCCUCUGGGUCCUCGGACCCAGCCAGCCUGCAUCGACGGGAUACACAAGACGGACUAUAUAGUAUUUUGCGAAAGCUGCAGAAGUCAUUCUCAUUUAUAUGCGAGCUAUAAAGACUCCAGCCUAAGCAAAUUCACCCACAGAUGUACUCUGUAAGGGACUGAGUGUUUAAUCAAGGGAAAGACUUUCGAUGGCGAGGGUGAGAAACACGGAAAAUAGGAAAUCCGAAUAAUUACUGCAAAUGUGAUCUAGAAGCACAAAAAUGUUCUUAAAGAUUCAACUCUUCACCCGUUUUGGUUCCCUAAAACUAUUUUAUGUUAUUGUAUCUUCAUUUAUUUCUUCUGAGAAAGAGAGAGCCCAAGCAGGUGAGGGGCGGAGAGAAGGAGAGACAGAAUCUCAACUAGUAGGCUCUGCGUCAUCAGCGCAGAGCCCGACGCGGGGGGCUCGAACUCACGAACCCUGAGGUCAUGAACUGAGCGGAGAUCCGGAGGCAGACACUUCAGGCGUCCCCUGUUUCCCUAUUACGUUUUCUGAAUUUGAGAAUUGCACUGGGGUUACAUUAGAGAACGGCAUUGUUCUUGGAAAUUAGUCAAGUGUCGCUGGGUAAGGGGGUCCACGAAAGUGAGGAAGGAGGGAGGGGAAGAGAGCCAGAGACGGAGGGAGAGGGGGAGAGGGAGACAGCAAAUGGGGUGUAACAGUGGUGACGCCGGGUAAACGGCGCACGGGAGUGUUUUGUACUAUUCUUGCCCACCUUCUGUACAUCUGAAACCAUUUCAAAAGACAACGUUUAAAAAUCGCUUUAAAAGUA